AAGUCGUAACAAGGUUUCCGUAGGUGAACCUGCGGAAGGAUCAUUAACAAUUCUCCAAUACAAAUAAACCUCUGUGAACCGACUUCAGGCUGGGUUGCAUCUCUGGAUGCUUCAAAGUCCCGCUGAGGUAUUCGAGUGCGGAAUUGCAGUAGCCUUCGUGGUUGCUGUAAGUACCACUCACAUAGACUAUUACGUUUGACUAAAUCGUACAUUAAUAAUGUAUACAACUUUUAACAGUGGAUCUCUUGGCUCCU
rnacentral:misc_RNA from 1 species